rnacentral:rRNA from 1 species
UACGUAGGGCGCAAGCGUUGUCCGGAAUUAUUGGGCAUAAAGAGCUCGUAGGCGGUUUGUCGCGUCUGCUGUGAAAACUCGAGGCUCAACCUCGGGCUUGCAGUGGGUACGGGCAGACUAGAGUGCGGUAGGGGAGACUGGAAUUCCUGGUGUAGCGGUGGAAUGCGCAGAUAUCAGGAGGAACACCGAUGGCGAAGGCAGGUC